GCUGAGGAUAUAGCUUAGUUGGUAGACUGUUUGCCUCAUAAGCACAAGGCCCUGGGUUCAAUCCCCAGCACCACACACACACACACACACACACACGCACGCACGCACACACACAACCUCCCUAAAAGUAUAUGGGAGGAUGAGUGUAAGUUCUGCGCAAAUUCUGUGUCAUUUUCUAUAAGGGAUUUAAGCAUCCAGGGAUUUUGAUAUCCAUGGGCAUGAGGGUGUCCCAGAACCAAUCUCCUAAAGAUUCUGUGGGACACCAUAUUAUCCUCAUUUUACAUGACGAAAUUGGUCUCCAGAGAGUUAUGCAACCUAACAAGUUCAACUAGUUGCUAAGUGGUGGAUCCUGCCUAGGACCAAUUUAGGGUUGGUGACCUCCAAUGCCCUCACCUUUUCUACUCCAUGCAUUGCUGUCACUAAUGAGAACCUGGGGACAGGAAUCAAGAGGUGUUGCUGAGGACUUGUUGAGAUGGAGUAAUGGAUUAAAAAGGUGACAAAUUCUUUGCCACUCCUCCUAUUAAGAGUAGUAUCGAUACUGUCUCCUCUUGAAUUUUAAUGAUUUGCUAAUCCAACAGAACAUGGUAGAAAUGACCAUAUCCUGGAACUUCUGAAGCUAGGACAUAAAUGUCUUGCAACUUCUACGUGGGACUCCGGACAUACUUGCUCUUGGAACACUAAGCCUCCCCUAAGUUUAACUACAUUGAGACUGCUAUCCUAGAGAGGGCAUGGGAAGGACUGCAGGGAGAUGCUUUGAGCCUGCAAGAAAAAAAGAUGUUCUCCUGUCUCCUACCUGUCCCCAGCCAUUUGAGUCAUGCGCUCCAGACAUUAUGGAGCAGGGAUGAGUGACCACUGCUGAGCCCUGCUUGAAAUGCAAAAUAAAGGAUUAUUGUUGGUU
rnacentral:lncRNA from 1 species